AGCCACUGCUAUUGGGAUUCGAUUAAGCCAUGCGAGUCGAGAGGGUUCGGCCCUCGGCAGACUGCUCAGUAACACGUGGAUAACCUAACCUUAGGUGGAGGAUAAUCUCGGGAAACUGAGAAUAAUACUCCAUAGAUCUAGGCUGCUGGAAUGCAUCUAGAUCAAAAGCUCCGGCGCCUAAGGAUGGGUCUGCGGACUAUCAGGUUGUAGUCAGGGUAAAGACCUGACUAGCCUACGACGGAUAUGGGUUGUGAGAGCAAUAGCCCAGAGACGAUAUCUGAGACACGAUAUCGGGCCCUACGGGGCGCAGCAGGCGCGAAAUCUUCACAAUGUGCGAAAGCACGAUGAGGGAAUCCCAAGUGCUAGCACGUAAGUGUUAGCUGUUUCUUAGUCUAAAAAACUCAGAGAGUAAGAGCUGGGUAAGACGGGUGCCAGCCGCCGCGGUAAUACCUGCAGCUCAAGUGGUGGCCGCUACUAUUGGGCCUAAAACGUCCGUAGCCCGUUUAGUAAAUGCUUGGGUAAAUUGUGUAGCUUAACUAUACGAAUACCGGGUAGACUGCUAAACUUGGGACCGGGAGAGGCUAGAGGUACUCCUGGGGUAGAGGUGAAAUUCUGUAAUCCUAGGGGGACCACCAGUGGCGAAGGCGUCUAGCUAGAACGGGUCUGACGGUGAGGGACGAAGCCCUGGGGCGCGAACCGGAUUAGAUACCCGGGUAGUCCAGGGUGUAAACGCUGCUUGCUUGAUGUUAGUUGGGCUCCGAGCCCAACUAGUGUCGGAGAGAAGUUGUUAAGCAAGCUGCCUGGGAAGUACGGUCGCAAGACUGGAACUUAAAGGAAUUGGCGGGGGAGCACAGCAACGGGUGGAGCGUGCGGUUU
rnacentral:rRNA from 1 species